rnacentral:rRNA from 1 species
UACGUAGGUGGCAAGCGUUGUCCGGAAUUAUUGGGCGUAAAGCGCGCGCAGGCGGUCCUUUAAGUCUGAUGUGAGAGCCCACGGCUCAACCGUGGAGGGUCAUUGGAAACUGGGGGACUUGAGUGCAGGAGAGAAGAGUGGAAUUCCACGUGUAGCGGUGAAAUGCGUAGAGAUGUGGAGGAACACCAGUGGCGAAGGCGGCUCACUGGCCCGGUACUGACGCUGAGGAGCGAAAGCGUGGGGAGCGAACAGG